rnacentral:misc_RNA from 1 species
GUGAAUCAUCGAAUUUUUGAACGCAAAUUGCACUCUCCGCGGAGAGUAUGCGUGUUUGAGGGUCAGCCUAUAAAAAAUCGACAUCGUUGCUGUUUCGCGGUGGCGUUCGUCGGAAAUUGGGUCAUCUUAAAUCUCGGUUUAAGCGACUUAAAAAUUUCUUUUUGGUUCCAUGAACGUUUCUAAGAUUUAUUUCUUUACCCGUUUAAGGUAUCGAUUUUUAUUAGACGUGACCAUCAUAUCGGAUCGCUUCCAUAACCUUUCAUUAACAG